ensembl:snRNA U6 U6 spliceosomal RNA
UAGAUACAGAGAAGAUUGGCAUGGCCCCUGUGCAAGGUGACACACAAGUUUGUGAAGCGUUACACAGUACA